rnacentral:misc_RNA from 1 species
AAAUUUCGUGUAUUUCAUAAAAAUCGCCAUAAAUCUUGACAUUUCUGCCUCUGAUCAACUCUGCUUUGCGGAUUUCCUUUCAAUUUGUGUCUAUGAAUUCAUUUUUGAGCAGUGAUCUGGAGAAAGCGAUGGUGGACAAGACAAAGAAGGAGGAGAAUAGCCGUCCUUUGUUUUUUAAUCUGAUUGUGAUAAUUGGAUAUGGGUAUCUUGCAUAUGUGAUGUGGCCUGAUAUUAAAGAGCAGAUAUAUAACAUGAGAAAUUCUGGGGUGGAGGGCUAUGCUGUUGUUAUUUCAACUUUAUUUGCAGUUAUUCUACUCGUUGUAAUGCUUUGUUUCUUUGAUUUGCUCAAACGAAUCAUGAAGUAGGAGCAGUCUUGUUUCUGCACUGUACCCUUUUCUAUGAAUUCUGUCAGACUGUGAUAACUAAUCUUGUUCCUCUUUUUUGGCUUGUUAUUAUGUGUGUGAAAUAAGAUUUACAAGACUGUCUUAAG